AUUGGAAUUGCUGGGUCACAUGGUAGCUUUGUGUUUGUUUGAGGAACUGCCAAACUAUUUUUCACAUAAGCACCAUUUUACAUUCCCAAGAACAAU
rnacentral:pre_miRNA from 1 species